GCUGGCGGCGUGCCUAAUACAUGCAAGUAGAACGCUGAAGAGAGGAGCUUGCUCUUCUUGGAUGAGUUGCGAACGGGUGAGUAACGCGUAGGUAACCUGCCUUGUAGCGGGGGAUAACUAUUGGAAACGAUAGCUAAUACCGCAUAACAAUGGAUGACACAUGUCAUUUAUUUGAAAGGGGCAAUUGCUCCACUACAAGAUGGACCUGCGUUGUAUUAGCUAGUAGGUGAGGUAAUGGCUCACCUAGGCGACGAUACAUAGCCGACCUGAGAGGGUGAUCGGCCACACUGGGACUGAGACACGGCCCAGACUCCUACGGGAGGCAGCAGUAGGGAAUCUUCGGCAAUGGGGGCAACCCUGACCGAGCAACGCCGCGUGAGUGAAGAAGGUUUUCGGAUCGUAAAGCUCUGUUGUAAGUCAAGAACGGGUGUGAGAGUGGAAAGUUCACACUGUGACGGUAGCUUACCAGAAAGGGACGGCUAACUACGUGCCAGCAGCCGCGGUAAUACGUAGGUCCCGAGCGUUGUCCGGAUUUAUUGGGCGUAAAGCGAGCGCAGGCGGUUUGAUAAGUCUGAAGUUAAAGGCUGUGGCUCAACCAUAGUUCGCUUUGGAAACUGUCAAACUUGAGUGCAGAAGGGGAGAGUGGAAUUCCAUGUGUAGCGGUGAAAUGCGUAGAUAUAUGGAGGAACACCGGUGGCGAAAGCGGCUCUCUGGUCUGUAACUGACGCUGAGGCUCGAAAGCGUGGGGAGCGAACAGGAUUAGAUACCCUGGUAGUCCACGCCGUAAACGAUGAGUGCUAGGUGUUGGAUCCUUUCCGGGAUUCAGUGCCGCAGCUAACGCAUUAAGCACUCCGCCUGGGGAGUACGACCGCAAGGUUGAAACUCAAAGGAAUUGACGGGGGCCCGCACAAGCGGUGGAGCAUGUGGUUUAAUUCGAAGCAACGCGAAGAACCUUACCAGGUCUUGACAUCCCGAUGCUAUUUCUAGAGAUAGAAAGUUACUUCGGUACAUCGGUGACAGGUGGUGCAUGGUUGUCGUCAGCUCGUGUCGUGAGAUGUUGGGUUAAGUCCCGCAACGAGCGCAACCCCUAUUGUUAGUUGCCAUCAUUCAGUUGGGCACUCUAGCGAGACUGCCGGUAAUAAACCGGAGGAAGGUGGGGAUGACGUCAAAUCAUCAUGCCCCUUAUGACCUGGGCUACACACGUGCUACAAUGGUUGGUACAACGAGUUGCGAGUCGGUGACGGCGAGCUAAUCUCUUAAAGCCAAUCUCAGUUCGGAUUGUAGGCUGCAACUCGCCUACAUGAAGUCGGAAUCGCUAGUAAUCGCGGAUCAGCACGCCGCGGUGAAUACGUUCCCGGGCCUUGUACACACCGCCCGUCACACCACGAGAGUUUGUAACACCCGAAGUCGGUGAGGUAACCUUUUGGAGCCAGCCGCCUAAGGUGGGACAGAUGAUUGGGGUGAAG
rnacentral:rRNA from 1 species